GAGGAGGCCAGCUGGGGAGAGUGUGUGCAGGUUUGGUAGACAAAACACAAAAAAAUAACAGAUACCCCCCAUGAGAUCAAGUCAGCCUCUCUCACAUGCACUAGCUGGUACAAACAAACUUGUGUUCUUGCUGUUGGUAAGCAAUCCUCACUUCAGGCCCAUUAAGGAAAACAGUCUGUUGAGCACCACACUUCCAGUCAUAGCCCAAAGAGAUCUCACUGACUAAGGGGCUCCGUGCUAGCGACCUAACCAAAUACAGGUUUUCAUUCUCGUGUUAGCCAGAAGCUUGUCUGAUAGCUGAGAAUAGUCAGCUCAUAAUGCAUUUUACAUUCAACCCUUCUUCUUGGCUGUACCUUGGGGACAGAGAGGAACUUGAGUGGAAAUAAUGCUGUUGCAUUUAUUUGGGGUUAAGCUGAGAAACCUUUUUGUGCCAGAAGUAUUCUGUAAAUGUCAACAGCAUCUGUGGCAGAGAGCGUGACCUCCAGCCACCGAGUGGCUCCAAGCUAGGAAAACGGCUACUUCUAGAGAGCAACUCAGCCUUUGGGAAGGCUGAACUCUGCAAAGUUAUUUACUCUGAACAUAACUUUCUGAUGAUAAUAUGAGAUCUCAAGAUGACUACACCCCAAAUUUACAUGCCAGUACCUAAAGUUAUGUGGGACACGAUGUGGUCUGUGAAUCACUAAAUUAAGCUGCACAUGUUAGCAAAAGAAUGCGGAAGUAUUAUUCAACCUUUCAUAGAGAUUUUUUUAGUCUUCGCACAUUAACCAGUCUUUGGAGUUGAAGACUCCAGGAGACUUUACUUUUGCUGUUUUCAGCAUCUUCCUCUUUGAUCCCUUCUCAUGUAGAGCAGCAGCAGCUGUCAGAAUGUGCGGGUUUACUGCUGACAGAGUCACUCUGGAGUAAAUAUCUGCCCAUACCUGGCACCCACACUCCACUUCAUCUGGAGGUGGAAAUUUGCUGUUAUUGAAGAAAUAGUUUAGCCAAAAGAUUUAUGCAAGACAUUUUAAAAGAAGAGCAACAAAUUGAAGCUGACACCUUUCCUUAGGCUUCUGUAAUUUCCAGAAUCAUUCCCUUAAUUAUCCAUACUUCUUAAGUCUAAGACAUUUGAAAUGUUAAGCCUUCUCAACUAGUCUUUAAUGGGAAUUAAAAAAAAAAUGCUUUACACACCUCAUGGGAAGAGUAUUUAUUUUGCAGAAUCCCAGUUUUAUAUGUAUGAUAAAAUGGAAAAAAAUGAGAAACAAUAAUGAGAAGCGUCUCACACACAACACAACUAAAACCCUUGAAACUUCAUAACAGAGAAGAAAGUGAGACAUUGCCAUCCUCUUCACUUCAUUGUACAGGUGGCCGGGCCUAAGGAGAGUUUGAAGCAUGAAAGUUUGUAAUAACUAUUAUGAUUUUGAAGAAUAUCAUCAGAAUUAUAAACUAGAAGACCUACUGUUUUAAUAGGUGUCAAACAGAGAACACAUACAAACAAAACACUCAAUACUUUCAAAAAUAAAGGUGGUGAAAUACCACCUAUGUGAGAAUCACAAGGUUCAGCAGGACAACAGAAUACUGAACAGUUCAAUGGCUCCCCUGGAAGAGCUUCCAGAAAAGCAGCAUGUAACUUCCUACGAUAAUUAGCAGUGCUGUAGCAUUUUCAAUUUUCCCUAAUCUACAAGGAAAAAGGGGAAGGAAGAUGAGUGUUUCCAAAGGUACCAUACAGCAGUGAAUUAAUCUCUCUACCAUGGUUUCCAUCUGCCUCUUUUGAGGGUUAAUGUUUCUUUGGAGUCCUAUUUCUGCUUAUUACAGAGGGUGCACCAGCCGAAAGUGAAACUCGGUAUAACAUGUUAACUACAACAGUUAUUAGCUACCUAAUGUGAGCGUGACUCAGUGAUGGAACUGUUAUUCUGUGGAAGAUUCACUAGUAAAUACUUCAAAUAUGUGCUACAAAUCAGUCUACAGAUGUUCUCUGUUGUAAAGACAGUUUGUUAGAUGUUAGCUUCUGAUAGCAAUACCACUGCCACACAACUCAGAUGGUUAACAGCAACAAUUGUUGCAAAUAAUUUCAUAUUGUCACUUCACUCAUACAAAAUAAUGGACUCAGAGAGAAAAUAAAGAAGAAUGUGACCUAGCCAGCAGUCUAAACUGAGAGGCCGCGCAACAAGAAGUAGAGAAGAAAACAAAAAGCACAGGAAAACUGAAUAUUUCAUACAUUUCAGAAAUGAUGGGAAAAAUUAACAGAACCUUAGUCUGUUUUUAAAAAGUGGUAUACAAGACCUUCACAAUCCAAACUGCAAGAACAUCUAUUAAGUGUCAAUGGGUAAAAACUACUAAUAUUUUCCCAAAAGUGCCAGGAUCUGGUAAAAUCAAAAGUAUCCUGCAGCCUGUGUAUAAAACUGUUAAACCUGAAAAAAACUAAUCCAAUUACACACCUGUAAAUUUAGUGUCCAGCUUAUUUUUAAGAGCAACUUUAAAGAUCAAUAUUUACAUUUUAAGACGUAUUAAAAUUUGAAAAUGAAUGCUGCAAGACUUCAAGUUUAAAAUGAAAAGUGUAAGGAAAUUUGCUUCCAUCUCCCUAUUGACAGAGAAGCCUAAGCUCCAGGGUUCUGGAUCACAUGGAUUGAAUAUUGAAUGACAAAUUGGAUUCAAGUUAAAGCCAACCAAAGCCAAGUAGGCUUCUUGUCAAAUGAGGUAUUGUAGGAGGAAGGUGAAACUGUUGAUCUUAUUCAGGUAAAAUCACAGAAAGCUAGACAGUAAUUAGUGCAUUCCAAGAAACAAAUAAAACCAAGCUAGUUUUGGACAAGCAUAACCAACUUACUGCCUGUCAGAAGAUGAGCCAGCCUGGAGUCAUAUUCACUGGAAUCAACAGCGAAGUUGUACUUACUCUGGUUAGAGCAGAAUAAAAAAAAAAAAAAAAAAAAGAAACAGAUUCUGUUCCAAACUAGAAAUGUACCAACACUAAGUUACACCUUUAUUGAGGUAAACAAACCAAACUUAACAGAACAAGGGUGUAUUUAGAUCCAGGCUGAAGGCAAGUAAAAACUUUAGUCAAAAGUUUGCCUGUAGCUGCUAUGAGAACCAGACAGAUGUUAAGCUCAAAGAAAUCUUCCAAGAAAUAGAGAAAGCAGAUACAAGAACAGAAAAAGUGUAAUCAAGCACUUCACAUAAAUUAAUUUUAGACUUUGUAAAUAUUCAAUUAUUUUUUUGCUCAUGAUUUUGAUUUACCUGGAUGAUGCUAAUUAUCCAAGUUUUUGAGGUAGUAAAGUAAGUAGAAGUAAAUAUACUUAUUUUCUAUAGAGCCCUAUUUCCUCAAUUAAAUUCUGUACUUCAACAAGUUCAGUGGCUGCUGCUAUUGCUGGCUGUUGUGUUCAUACCAAUUUAGUAAGGUAUCUGCUGCAGUGACAGGUGGUGAAGUAAUGCUUUCGCUUUCAAGUAUUUCCAGUGUGACCCCUAAAUGCUCUAUCUUUUAUGCACUGGAAUCCACUGGAGGUGGAUGGGAGAAGAUUAAGUAAAGCAACACACAUAUCUGAAUAGAGCACAAAUGCAUGCAAGUAUUAUAUACCCAACAGGUUUAAUGUAUGAAUUAAAAGGAAAUAUUGAGUAGAAUGCAAACCCACACACAGAUCCACCAUGUCAUAACUAACAAUGCCUUUACUGGGGUCUAAAAAAAGGUGGAUCCAAGAGGUAUUGGAAGCUACAAGAUGCAAAGGAUGCAGCAACCUCAGAAACUACAGUACUGGAGUGAUGUACCAGCAAGUCAGCUAUCCAAAACAUUUGGAGUGACGUGAUAAACAGCACUUUUCAGAGACUGAUGGAAACUGAAAUCUUUUUAGCACAACUGGAGAGAGUUAUUAGCACAGAGCAAAAUACUGAUGAGCAUCCUGGAAUCCCAGAGGUGCCUCAGCCAGUCUGCCAUGCUCAUUAUAAAUCAGCGCUAAGAGAAAUAACAGUUGGCUUACAGAGACUAUUUUUCUACGGCAUAAGCUUUGCAAAGAUUCAAUAUACUCAGGAGAGAAACAUAACUGAUAUAAAACAAGUUUUGAAAUGCAGAUUAUUUAAUUCUAAAUGUUAUGUUGAUGU